rnacentral:rRNA from 1 species
AACGUAGGGGGCGAGCGUUGUCCGGAAUUACUGGGCGUAAAGGGCGUGUAGGCGGUCCGCGAAGUCAGGAGUGAAAACCCGGGGCUCAACCCCGGGAGUGCUUUUGAAACCAGCGGGCUUGAGUGCAGGAGAGGGAAGUGGAAUUCCCAGUGUAGCGGUGAAAUGCGUAGAUAUUGGGAGGAACACCAGUGGCGAAAGCGGCUUCCUGGCCUGUAACUGACGCUGAGGCGCGAAAGCGUGGGGAGCAAACAGGAUUAGAUACCCCCGUAGUCC